GGUGGCUCAGUGGUAAAGUGCUUGCCUUGCAUGCAUGAGGUCCUGGGUUCGAUUCCUCAGCACCA
rfam:Dipodomys ordii contig_17794, whole genome shotgun sequence.